AGCCUGAUGCAGCCAUGCCGCGUGUGUGAAGAAGGCCUUCGGGUUGUAAAGCACUUUCAGCGAGGAGGAAAGGUUAGUGGUUAAUACCCGCUAGCUGUGACGUUACUCGCAGAAGAAGCACCGGCUAACUCCGUGCCAGCAGCCGCGGUAAUACGGAGGGUGCGAGCGUUAAUCGGAAUUACUGGGCGUAAAGCGCAUGCAGGCGGCCAAGUCAGUCAGAUGUGAAAGCCCCGGGCUUAACCUGGGAAUUGCAUUUGAUACUGCUUGGCUAGAGUCCUUGAGAGGGGGGUAGAAUUUCAGGUGUAGCGGUGAAAUGCGUAGAGAUCUGAAGGAAUACCAGUGGCGAAGGCGGCCCCCUGGCAAGAGACUGACGCUCAGAUGCGAAAGCGUGGGGAGCAAACAGGAUUAGAUACCCUGGUAGUCCACGCCGUAAACGAUGUCUAUUAGGAGUCUGUGACCUUGAGGCGUGGGUUCCAAAGCUAACGCAUUAAAUCGACCGCCU
rnacentral:rRNA from 1 species